rnacentral:lncRNA from 1 species
CCGGUGUUGCCUGUAGGUCGUGAUGUGCCUUGAGAUGGCCGUCUCCUGUCCCCCUUCCAGUGGGGAACCCGCUCCCCGGUCGUCGCUCUGCUGCGUCUGGCCCGUCCUCUAGGCACCUUUGGAAGGCAGGGAGUGUGACAACGUACACGCUUCCCUUUACUCCAUAGGGCCUUCUCAUCAGUUGCAGGGUUUGGUGGCCCGAAAUUGACUUGGCUUCGCCAAAAAGCCUCAUCUCUAAAAGCCCGGCUCGCGAGGCGUCCCUCUCGCAGUAGGGUUCCAACCCUCGCCUCGCUCUUGUGACAUGCUAUGUUUCCCCUCUCUAUUCCCAAGUAAAGGGUGAGUCCCAUGCGUCAGUUUGUGGAUCGCGGUCUCACACACUAAUCCCUACAG